GGCUCGUUGGUCUAGGGGUAUGAUUCUCACUUUGGGUGCGAGAGGUCCCGGGUUCAAAUUCUGGAUGAGCACA
rnacentral:tRNA from 1 species